ensembl:snoRNA
AAGUGAGAUGAUGGUAUGCCAUCUUUCGGGACUGACCUGAAAUGGAGAGAGCUUUUAAUGGCUGAUCACUU